AGCGGUAAAGCCCACCCCACCACUUCCGUUGUGCUCCUUUAAGUAAAAGCCACAGGCGCUUCUCAGCCUUUCGGCGGCAGCAAGGUCUGUCCUUGCGGAGGACGUCGGAUUUAAUCCUUAAUUUCAGCGCUUCCACACUCCUUAAUCUCCAACCUUCUCAAUAAAAUGAUUUGACAACAG